rnacentral:rRNA from 1 species
UUAAAGUUGUUGCAGUUAAAAAGCUCGUAGUUGAAACUUGGCCUUGGCUGUCCGGUCCGCCUCACCGCGUGCACUGGUUCGGCCGGGGCUUUCCUUCUGGGGAUCUGCAUGGCCUUCAUUGGUCGUGUGAGGGAACCAGGACUUUUACUUUGAAAAAAUUAGAGUGUUCAAAGCAGGCCUAUGCUCGAAUACAUUAGCAUGGAAUAAUA